UACGAGUAUACCUUGGUUACGU
rnacentral:miRNA from 1 species